UACAAAGAGAUCAGGCAAUGUCAUCUAACUCUACCUGCUGCUUGGUAAUGAAGUUAAAUUCACACUUUGCAGUAAUUUGUUAAAUAGAGUGAGGUUAUGACCUACCCAUAGUGCAAUUAAAAAACACACACAUACCCUGUUAAAUUCAGUGCUAUCAAAAACUGUGUUUUGGGCAUUGAUAUCACUUUCCUUGGGCAUAGUAAAUUUAAACCUGGCCUGGGAACUGACAAUUCAUUAUUACACAAACACUUCCAGAGAGUAAAAAAGACAAUUCCCAGCUCAUUUUCUGAGGCUAGUAUGUCUUGUAUUGUAAAACCAGAGAGAUAAAGUACACGAAAGGAAUAUUACAGGUCAAUCUCACUCGUAAAUAUAGAUACAAAAAGUCUAAAUAAAUAUUAGCAAACCACAUCAAGUAAUGUAUUAAGAAGAUUACUGCAUCAUGCUCAAGUUGAGUUUAUCCUAGGAAAACAAAUACAAUUUACUUUAGAAAAAUAUUUGUGUGUAUGUCUAUAAUUUGUGUUAAUAGAUUAAAAAAAGAAAAAUGAUACAGAAAAUUAUUUUAUUAAAUUCAUCGCACAUUCAUUAUAAAAACUCUUAGCACACUAAGAAUAAGUCCUAUAUUCUUUCCCUCAUAUAAGGCAUCUAAUUAAAACUUGCAGCAAACAUUAUUCUAAAUAAGAAUAAGAAAUAAAGUUUCCUGUGCUGUUGUAAGAAGUUACCAUAAACUAGAUUGCUUAAAACAGCAGAUAUUUGUACUCUCACGGGUCUGGAGGCCAGGAGUUCUAAAUUAUUACUAGGCUGAAAGCAUGGUGUCAACAGGAUUAUGCUCCCUCCAGAGGCUUUAGGGGAGAGUAUGCUCCUUACCUCUUCCAGCUUCUCUUGGCUGCUGGCCUUCCUUGGUCACAGUGCCUUCUCUUCACUUAUGUGUCAAAUCUCCAUUUGCCUCUCUCUUAUGAAGACAUUUGCGGUUGCAUUUAGGGCCCACAUUGACAAUACAGGAUUAUCUUCCCAUCUCACAAUCCAUAACUUAAUCACAUCUGCAAAGCACCUUUUUUGCCAUGCAAAAUAACAUUUGUAGGUCCGAGGGAUUAGGACAUGGAUAUGUUUUGGGGACCAUUU
rnacentral:lncRNA from 1 species